AAACAAGUGCAGCUAUUAGCUGAUGAGCACAGUCAGCAGCAGAGAUAGGGAAAGAGACAAACAGAAUAGAAUACAGACAGAACAAGUUAGGGAUUACUUGAAGAAAGAAGAUGCUUUCAAGUCUGGGGGACUGGAUGGGAUAUACACAAAUGUGCUAAAAGACUUGGGUGAAGUAAUUUCAGAGAAUUGGUUAUCAUUUUUGAGUGCUCCUGGUGGUCGGGUGAGGUCCCAGAUGACUGUUAAAGCACAAAUGCAGAGCCCAACUUUAAGAAAGAGAAGCAGGAUCUGGGGAACUACAGAACAGUCAGUCUGACCUUGAUACUGGAAAAGAUCAUGGAGCAGGUCCUCAGGGAAUCUAUUGUGAAGCAGCUAGAGGAGAACAAGCUCAUUGGGAAAAGCCAGCAUGGAUUCCCCAAGAGCAAAGCAUGCCUUACAAACCUGAUUUCCUUCUAUGAUAAGAGGACAGGCUCUGUGAAUGGGGAUAAGGCAG